UUCAGAGCACUUUGUUUUCUGGCAUUAAAAUACCUAUGUAAAAUCCAAGUCCUUAUCUGUAAUUAAUAGAAAAACACUUCUAAUUAUCCUAUGUUGCUAUUAUUUUUUACAGCGCUCUUGUACAACCCCAUUACUCAGGUUACUGAUGAAGAUCUGGAUUCAGCUGCCCUGCCCUGAUUUCAGUUUCCAGUUCUGACAUGGGAUGGCUCCUUUUACAGCUCCCUGUGAAUAGUCAGGGAAAGAGGUCUACAACGAAGCCAAGGAAGUUGAAAGGAAGGCUGCUGCAGCAUGCCCAUGGUACUGUUCUAGUUCUUCUGUUUAAGUGGCAGAAAAGGGAUUUGUCAUCUGCUGAUAAGCAAAUAAGUGCAGUAACCUUUGAGGCAUUUCCCAUUUUCUGCUUUACAGUCUUGAUGGGAGAAUAAAUUUCCCUACUGCACGCUUUA
rnacentral:lncRNA from 1 species